rnacentral:rRNA from 1 species
AGAUUCCUACGGGAGGCAGCAGUGGGGAAUAUUGCACAAUGGGCGGAAGCCUGAUGCAGCAACGCCGCGUGCGGGAUGACGGCCCUCGGGUUGUAAACCGCUUUCGCCUGUGACGAAGCGUGAGUGACGGUAAUGGGUAAAGAAGCACCGGCUAACUACGUGCCAGCAGCCGCGGUGAUACGUAGGGUGCGAGCGUUGUCCGGAUUUAUUGGGCGUAAAGGGCUCGUAGGUGGUUGAUCGCGUCGGAAGUGUAAUCUUGGGGCUUAACCCUGAGCGUGCUUUCGAUACGGGUUGACUUGAGGAAGGUAGGGGAGAAUGGAAUUCCUGGUGGAGCGGUGGAAUGCGCAGAUAUCAGGAGGAACACCAGUGGCGAAGGCGGUUCUCUGGGCCUUUCCUGACGCUGAGGAGCGAAAGCGUGGGGAGCGAACAGGCUUAGAUACCCUGGUAGUCCACGCUGUAAACGGUGGGUACUAGGUGUGGGGUCCAUUCCACGGGUUCCGCGCCGUAGCUAACGCUUUAAGUAUCCCGCCUGGGGAGUACGGCCGCAAGGCUGAAACUCAAAGGAAUUGACGGGGACCCGCACAAGCGG